ACCGCUAAACUAGAACCUGGAGGGGCGCAAAACAAAAUGAGUGGGUCAGUAAAACAAAUUAGUUUUCCAAAACAUUUCAUUAAAACAGUUAUAUCCCCUCGCCGUAAAAACCUGUAUACUUUCCCAGAAAUAUAUAACCAUAUAAAAUCUCAACAUUUAAAUCUCAAAUCUUUAACAUUUUCAAGAAAACAUGCCAUGACAUAAAUAAAAAUAUAAAUCAGGUGAAUAAGGAAUCAAUCGGAGACCCUGCAGUUGGUCCUAUACGAUUAAUUCAAUAGCUCAAAUCCCACUAAGCCGGAGUCACCACAGUGACCUAUACGGCCCUACUCUGCACAUUACUCGGAACUACGUAAGGUAGUCUAUACGAUGAAAGGUGUAAAAAUACGCUCUAGUGCUUCUCUCAUCAUAUCAUCAGCGCGCAUAACUAAGGUCACCCACUAGUCGGAAUCACGCCUAGUGAUCUGUACGACUAGCAUGUCGGAACCCUCACAUGGUCUGUACGACAUCCACCUACUUGGAUCCAAGACGAGCGUGCGGUGUGGUGAAUAAUAUAAGCACUAACACCUAGGGUGCAGAUUAUGAGCUCAACUCAUCUCAACAACAACAAUUCAAUGAAUAAAUGAACUCACCUGACUUACCUGUGCCUCCACAGCACCAUGCAACAUGUAUGCAUCAUAUUUCAAUCAUAUAGUUCAUAAACCAAUUCAUGAUUUUCAAAUAAUUCUAUGCAUGGCAUAUUCAAAACAUAUUUUCAUAUAAACAUUUUUCUGGGAAAAACAGUAGUAUAUAGGUAAUACGAAAACAAAACUGCCCACUCACUGAUAAGUCGACGGGUCGUAACCCCCGUGGCGUCCCUGGAUGCGAUCGUCCUCGGGAUACGUCUCACCUAUAUGCGAAACAACUAUAAAAACAUUAAUUUUAAGCACAUCACCAAUAAUUUGAAAUAACUUCUCAUACGAUGCUCAAUUUUGGUAUAUUAAUAUACCACAUCGACCUACUCGACGUCACGAGCGUCGAGAAAUUUUUAGAAAAAUUUUUGGAAGCCCCACGCGCCCCCACGCGCCACACGUGGCACGGGUCCACGCGCUGGCCACGCGCAGCACGUGCAGCGCACGUGUCGUCUUCUUCGCAGGUCUCGCCGGACUGGUUCUCCGGUGGCCGGACUCCGGCCGAACUCCGGCCGAUUUUCAAACUCACUAUUCUCCUUCGUUUUUCACCCAUUUUCUUCGUAUUUUAUACCAAAUUGAAGCCCUAAGAGUGUACAAUCACGUUGGACUUGUUUUAGGGCCUAAAAACUACGAAAUCUCACCUUGGAAAAACCAAAGAUUCGGCCAAACUUGAAACCUACGAUCCCGACGUCCAAAACUCUCCAACGAACGUCCCCGAGCUUCCUUAGAACCUCCUAAAGCUCACCACAAGCUUGAAAUCUCCUGAAACACAACAUUUUUACGUUCGCAUGAACAGUACCUCAAAAAUGGAGGUUCGGGAUCUAUGUGAAAUCGAAGGUUUCACUUCCUAAAACUAGCACCAAUGAACUCAGGACGACGAAAGGAUGAAGAUGCAUACCUUAUUUGCCUCGAUCCGUCGAGUUUUGAAGGGUUUUGGGUGAAGGCCGUACGUAUAGGGUGAGGGGAAAGAGAGAGAUCGUGAGGGAGAGGGACAGAGAGAGCUACGGGAGGGAGAGAAGACAGGGAGUGCGUGUGUGUGUGAUUGUGUGGUCCAACACAAUCCUCACCAUCCAUCCAAUUCCCUAACCACAAAAAUUUCCAAAUUCCAAAAUUAAAAUCCCAAAACUUACAAAAUUAAUUCAAUAAUGUCGCACACACACGUACCCGAAUGUCCGUCAAGGGUAGUUACGUCAAUUCACGUCCCCGAAAUUCCCACAAUCAAAUAACCACUUAGUACCCAUAAAAUAACCUUGGGUACAUCUCUCUCAUCCGAUCUUCCGUCUCCCAGGUGGCUUCCUCUGCAGAAUGGUUCAUCCACAAUACCUUUACCAAACUCACCGUCUUGUUCCUCAGAACCUUAUCUUUCCAAUCCAAGAUAGUGACCGGUUCCUCAUCAUACGUCAAAUCCGGAUUAAUCUCUAACGGUUGAGGAGGGAUCACAUGAGAAGGAUCAGAAAUAUAAUGCCGAAGCAUAGAGACAUGGAACACAUUAUGGACCUUAGAUAACUCCGGAGGCAGUUCCAACCGGUAGGCAACUUCACCAACUCUUUCAAUGAUCACAUAAGGUCCAAUAUAUCUCGGACUUAGCUUCCCUCUUUUCCCAAAUCGUACUACACCUCUCCAAGGCGACAAUUUCAAGAAUACCCAAUCACCCACAUCAUACACUCGAUCAGUAGUAUGCCGAUCCGCUAAACUCUUAUGUCGAUCCUGGGCUGCUUUCAGGUUUGACUUAAUUACCUGAACAUUUUGAGUCGUCUCGUCCACGAUCUCAGGGCCUUCUAAUACCCGUUCACCAACCUCAGACCAACAUAAUGGCGUUCGACACGCCCUACCAUAAAGUGCCUCGAAUGGGGACAUACCAAUGCUCGAGUGAAAACUGUUAUUAUAAGCAAACUCCAUUAAGUCCAGACGAUCAUGCCAAGAAUCACCAAAUUGCAGUACUGAAGAUCUCAACAUAUCCUCCAACGUCUGAAUGGUCCUCUCUGAUUGCCCAUCAGUUUGAGGAUGAUAAGCUGUGCUAUACAGUAAUUGAGUACCCAGAGCUUCCUGAAAAGCCACCCAAAAUUUAGAAGUAAACCUCGGGUCUCGAUCGGAGAUAAUAUUUACUGGGACUCCAUGAUACUUGACAAUCUUCGAAAUAAACAACUUAGCCAAUUUAUUCAGAGGGUAUUUCUCCCUCACAGGAAUGAAAUGCGCAGACUUGGUGAGUCGAUCCACAAUCACCCAAAUACCAUCAAAUCCAUUUCGCGUACGAGGAAGUUUAUACACGAAAUCCAUUGUUAUAUUUUCCCAUUUCCACUGGGGAACAGGAAGGGGUUGCAUUCGCCCAAAGGGCUUCUUCCUUUCUGCUUUCACUUGCUGGCAAAUAAUAUACACCUGCUCACAUAUUCUGCAAUUUCUCUUUUCAUACCCGGCCAAUAAUAAAAUGGUCGAAUGGUAUGAUACAUUUUUGUUCCUCCCGGAUGCAUCGCAUAAGCUGAACAAUGUGCUUCAUCCAGAAUUUCCUUCUUCAAUUCCUCAUUAUUCGGAACAUACAUUCUGUCUUCUUGCAUGAGCAUACCAUCUGAUUCCCGAAUUCUGAGGUCUUUCUUUUUCCCUUCACUUCUUAACUGAACCAACUCUUGAACUUCCUCAUUCACCAUCUGAGCUGCAAGUAUACGGUCCACCAAAACUGGCCUGACUUGAAAACUAGCAAGAAAAGCUCCAUCUCGGUCUUCAAUUUCCAACCUUACCCCCGUUGUCCUCAAUUCAGCAAGAAGAGGAACACGACUCGCAUAUAAGGCAUUAAGCCUACCUUGAGGUUUCCUACUCAGUGCAUCCGCUACUACAUUAGCACGACCUGGAUGGUAUUCAAUAGAACAAUCAUAAUCACUUAACAAUUCCAUCCACCUUCGCUGACGAAGAUUAAGAUCAUGCUGAGUAAACAAAUACUGAAGACUCUUGUGAUCAGUGAAGAUCUUACACUUCUCACCAUACAAGUAAUGCCUCCAAAAUUUUCAAAGCAAAAACAAUUGCUGCCAAUUCAAGAUCGUGAGUAGGAUAGUUCCUUUCAUGAUUUUUCAACUGCCUAGAAGCAUAGGCAAUCACCUUAUUAUGCUGCAUCAAAACACAUCCCAAACCAUUUAAUGAAGCAUCACUAUAUAUCUCAAAAUUACCGUUAUCGUCGGGAAGUACCAACACCGGUGCAUGAGUGAGGCAAUACUUCAAUUGUUGAAAACUCCGCUCACAAUUCUCAUCCCACUCAAAUUUAACAUCCUUCCUGGUCAACUUUGUCAACGGUAAAGCAAUCAUAGAGAAAUCCUGAACGAACCGUCGAUAAUAACCUGCUAAGCCAAGAAAACUUCGUACCUCCGUGACGGUUCGAGGUUGCUCCCAAUUCUCCACUGCUGCAAUCUUUUGAGGAUCAACUUGAAUACCUUGAGCUGAUACAAACAUGCCCCAAAAAUGCCACUUCAGUCAACCAAAACUGACAUUUACUGAACUUGGCAUACAACUGAUGCUCCCUUAAUUUCCUUAACACCAAAUUAAGGUGUCGGAUAUGAUCUGCUUGGGACUUAGAGUAUACCAGAAUAUCAUCAAUAAAAACAAUAACAAAUUUAUCAAGAUAUUUCUGGAAUACCUCAUUCAUUAAUCUCAUAAAAGCUGCAGGUGCAUUAGUCAACCCAAACGGCAUAACCGAAAAUUCAUAAUGUCCGUACCGAGUUCGGAAAGCCGUCUUAGGUACAUCGUCUUCUUUAAUCUUCAAUUGAUAAUACCCGGAUCUCAAAUCAAUCUUAGAAAAUACACACGCACCUUUCAGCUGAUCAAACAAAUCAUCAAUGCGGGGCAAUGGAUAACGGUUUUUAAUCGUUACCCGGUUCAAUUGUCUAUAAUCAAUACACAAUCGAAGAGUUCCAUCCUUCUUUCUUCACAAAUAAUACUGGGGCACCCCAAGGUGAAGAACUAGGUUGAAUAAAACCUUUAUCAAGUAAUUCUUGCAACUGGAUUUUUAAUUCCCUUAACUCAGCAGGAGCCAUUCUAUAAGGAGUCAGAGAUAUAGGGUCCGUACCUGGAAGCAAAUCAAUAGAGAAUUCCACCUCUCUGUCUGGCGGCAAUCCCGGCAAAAUCAUCAGGGAAAACAUCCGGAUAAUGUCUGACCACACCAACUUCUUCUAUACUAGUAGGAGCAACAUCAUUUAAUACCACAUGUGCCAAAUAUCCCUGACAACCCUUCGAUAAUAAUUUCCUCGCCCUUAUGGCAGAAAUAACUCCAUGUCUCACCCCACUUCUCUCGCCCACAAAAAAUAACCUCGGGUAAUCCAGGACGAUAAAAAGUAACUGAUUUACCAUAACAAUCAAUAUGGGCACGAUUAUGGUGUAACCAAUCGGCCCCUAAAAUCACAUCGAAAAUCCACAAUAUCUAACGGAAUAAGAUCAGCGGACAUAAUCACGCCCUCAACCAUCACUGGACACCCCAGAUACACACUAUCCACAAUACAUUUAUCUCCUCUAGGCAUGGCAAACUCUAAAUCAAAUCCUAGAGGUGAAGGGUGAGGUUGGGUUAUUUGAGCAAACGUAUGAGAAAUCACAGAGUGCGCGUAGCACCACAAUCAAUCAAAACCUUAGCAAAAUGACCAAGAACAUUUAACGUACCCAUUAUCAAGUCUGGAUGGUUCUGAGCCUCCUGCAGGGAACAUAUGAUUAACUCGCCCCUGAGCUUGCUGACGUCCACCUCGGCCUCUAUUGCCCUGAUUACCUCGUCCCUGAGGAUUACGUCCCUGGCCUGGCUGACUAGGCUGCCUGGAUGAUCCUGCACCACCAGUAGCAACUUCCCCCUGACGGGGCUGGCCUCCCUGAUGCCACUGCGAUCCACCAGCUGGCAUAGAGGAAUAAGAAGAAUAACCUCCAAAAUCCUGAGAAUACCCUGCCUGAGGAUAAGGCUCCUGAGAAUACUGAUAAGGUCCGGAAGCAUACGGAGCAGCAUCCCCCUGAUAGUGGUAGGCACCACCACGACUCGGCUGGCCAUAACCACCCGGUCCAAAACUCUGCUGAACUGGUGCUGGAGGUGGCAUAUUAGUCUGCUGCGGUCUCUGCUGACCCUGGGGGCACUGAGAAGCCCGAUGUCCCAUCUGCCCACACGUAAAACAAGCACCAGAACCUCUCCUACACUCACCAUGGUGACGGGAGUUACAACGGCGGCACCAUGGAGCGCCAGAUCCACCAGCAUCCCUCUGACCCUGAAAUCUGGGUCCACCAGAAAAUCUUCCACCACCUCUCCUCGGGCCAGUAAAACUAUAUCCCCCACUAGAAGAACUCGAACUCGCUCCACUCUUCUUAAAACUCUGUGUCUGUCGAGGUCCAGGAAUAGAAAUACCCUUACCCUUAUCAUUCUUCUUCUGACCCUCAUUCUUGUCCUCGUCAUCCUCACUGUCAGGAAGAUUAUCAGAGUCCUCCAUCCUAACCAAAAUCUCGAAAUACUCAUGAUAAUCAGCGCAGGGAAGUGCAUUGGCAAAGGUACGCCACUUCUUCUUAGAUCCCAACUUGAAACGUCGAAGCAUCUCUCCCUGAUUACCAGCUAUAUCAGUGUCAUAACGAGACAAAUCAGUAAACUUUCUAUAAUAUUCAUGUGCCGACAUAUUUCUCUGUUUCAACCUGGUGAAUUCCUGCUUCUUACGGUCAAUAUACUCAGGAGGAACGAAUCUCUUCAUAAAAUGCUCCUUGAAUACUUUCCAGUCGGCUGCCGUCUCAGGUGACAUGUACCUAGCCUGAUUUAUCCACCAUGCUGCUGGUUCACGACCCAGAAACCAAGUGGUGGUCUCCACCCACCUAUUAGCAGGGAGAUUCCCCUGACUCUCUGCAUCACCUGAAAGGUUUUUCUCAAUAUGAUCAAGCCAUUUCUCUGCCCCCUCAUGACUUUCAUUACCCAUAAACCGAUCUAACUUCAAGUUGUACAUGGUCUCCAGAGGUGUCCUCGGAGGAGGGGGAGGACGAAUCACAUUCUGUAAAGCCUGGGCCAUCGCUUCCCCUAACUGAGUAAUAUCCGGGAAAUUAGGUUCAGGAGUACGGCGGGACUCCCUACGCUCUCUACGAGGCGGCAUGAUUCUGACAGAAAACAUCAAAAGAUCGUUAAGACAUUAACAAUUUUACAGGACUGCAACCUAAGCUCUGAUACCAAACUGACACACCCUGAUCCGGAGGAUCCAGGUGUGCUGGCCGUCACGUGGGCGUGACGUAACCAUAAGCACGACACGGAAGCGUAAUAACAACAUAUAACAACAGAAAUUCAACCCAAACUCAACAUAACCACAUACGGACAUAACCGGACGAGUUACAAGUAAACACAUAAGUUCAGAGCAUAGAUUAACUGCAGUCAAGUAGGACUAAAAUAAGAAUACAUCACCCUCAGGUGAGUCCUACAUGUCCCAAAUCUGUCAGAAAGCCGGAAAGGACCUCGUGAGCCAACCACCGCUAAACUAGAACCUGGAGGGGCGCAAAACAAAAUGAGUGGGUCAGUAAAACAAAUUAGUUUUCCAAAACAUUUCAUUAAAACAGUUAUAUCCCCUCGCCGUAAAAACCUGUAUACUUUCCCAGAAAUAUAUAACCAUAUAAAAUCUCAACAUUUAAAUCUCAAAUCUUUAACAUUUUCAAGAAAACAUGCCAUGACAUAAAUAAAAAUAUAAAUCAGGUGAAUAAGGAAUCAAUCGGAGACCCUGCAGUUGGUCCUAUACGAUUAAUUCAAUAGCUCAAAUCCCACUAAGCCGGAGUCACCACAGUGACCUAUACGGCCCUACUCUGCAC
rnacentral:lncRNA from 1 species